CUACGGGUUGCUCCAGUGAGGAAUAUUGCACAAUGGGGGGAACCCUGAUGCAGCAACGCCGCGUGGAGGAUGACGCAUUUCGGUGUGUAAACUCCUUUUAUAUGUCAAGAAAAUGACGGUAGCAUAUGAAUAAGCACCGGCUAACUCCGUGCCAGCAGCCGCGGUAUACGGAGGGUGCAAGCGUUACUCGGAAUCACUGGGCGUAAAGGACGCGUAGGCGGGUUGGAAAGUCAGGUGUGAAAUCCUACAGCUUAACUGUAGAACUGCACUUGAAACUUCUAAUCUAGAGUAUGGGAGGGGGGGAUGGAAUUAGUGGUGUAGGGGUAAAAUCCGUAGAUAUCACUAGGAAUACCUAAAGCGAAGGCGAUCUCCUGGAACAUUACUGACGCUAAGGCGUGAAAGCGUGGGGAGCAAACAGGAUUAGAUACCCGUGUAGUC
rnacentral:rRNA from 1 species